UACGUAGGGUGCAAGCGUUGCCCCGGAAUUAUUGGGCGUAAAGAGCUCGUAGGCGGUCUGUCGCGUCGGAUGUGAAAAACUCGGGGGCUCAACCCCCGAGCCUGCAUUCGAUACGGGCAGACUAGAGUUCGGUAGGGGAGACUGGAAUUCCUGGUGUAGCGGUGAAAUGCGCAGAUAUCAGGAGGAACACCGGUGGCGAAGGCGGGUCUCUGGGCCGAUACUGACGCUGAGGAGCGAAAGCGUGGGGAGCGAACAGG
rnacentral:rRNA from 1 species